rnacentral:rRNA from 1 species
UACGUAGGGUGCGAGCGUUGUCCGGAAUUACUGGGCGUAAAGCGCGUGUAGGCGGCUUUGCAAGUCGGGUGUGAAAGCCCUCAGCUUAACUGAGGAAGUGCGCCCGAAACUGCAGAGCUUGAGUACCGGAGAGGAUGGUGGAAUUCCCCAAGUAGAGGUGAAAUUCGUAGAUAUGGGGAGGAACACCGGUGGCGAAGGCGGGUCUCUGGGCAACAACUGACGCUGAGGAGCGAAAGCGUGGGGAGCGAACAGG